rnacentral:rRNA from 1 species
CCAGCCGCCGCGGUAAUACAGAGGUCUCAAGCGUUGUUCGGAUUUAUUGGGCGUAAAGGGUGCGUAGGCGGCGGGGCAAGUGAGGUGUGAAAUCCCGGAGCUCAACUCCGGAACUGCACUUUAUACUACUCUGCUAGAGUCUUGGAGAGGAGACUGGAAUUUACGGUGUAGCAGUGAAAUGCGUAGAUAUCGUAAGGAAGACCAGUGGCGAAGGCGAGUCUCUGGACAAAGACUGACGCUGAGGCACGAAGGCCAGGGGAGCAAACGGGAUUAGAUACCCCGGUAGUCCUGGCAGUAAACGGUGCGCGUUUGGUAUGGGGGGAUUCGACCCCUUCCGUGCCGAAGCUAACGCGUUAAACGCGCCGCCUGGGGAGUACGAUCGCAAGAUUAAAACUCAAAGAAAUUGACGGGGGCCCGCACAAGCGGUGGAGUAUGUGGCUUAAUUCGAUGCAACGCGAAGAACCUUACCUGGGCUUGACAUGCAUCGCUAAGUCGGUGAAAGCCGGCGACUCCCGCAAGGGAGACUUUGCACAGGUGCUGCAUGGCUGUCGUCAGCUCGUGUCGUGAGAUGUUGGGUUAAGUCCCGCAACGAGCGCAACCCUCGUGGCCUGUUGCUUCUGCUCCGCAAGGAGCAAGCACUUUGGUCAGACUGCCCUGUGAAACGGGGAGGAAGGUGGGGAUGACGUCAAGUCAGCAUGGCCCUUACGUCCAGGGCUGCACACGUACUACAAUGCCCAGCACAGAACGAGCCGAAGCCGCGAGGCGGAGGAAAUCACCAAAACUGGGCACAGUUCGGAUCGCAGGCUGCAACUCGCCUGCGUGAAGCUGGAAUCGCUAGUAAUGCCGUAUCAGCUACGACGGCGUGAAUACGUUCCCGGGCCUUGUACACACCGCCCGUCACAUCAUGGAAGUCGAUCCUACCCGAAGCACGUGAGCCAACCGCAAGGCGGCAGCGUUCGAAGGUAGGGCCGGUAACUGGGAUGAAGUCGUAACAAGGUAACCAAG